rnacentral:rRNA from 1 species
GUGAACGCUGGCGAUAGGCCUAACACAUGCAAGUCGAACGGCAGCACAGUAAGAGCUUGCUCUUACGGGUGGCGAGUGGCGGACGGGUGAGGAAUACAUCGGAAUCUACUUUUUCGUGGGGGAUAACGUAGGGAAACUUACGCUAAUACCGCAUACGACCUACGGGUGAAAGCAGGGGAUCUUCGGACCUUGCGCGAUUGAAUGAGCCGAUGUCGGAUUAGCUAGUUGGCGGGGUAAAGGCCCACCAAGGCGACGAUCCGUAGCUGGUCUGAGAGGAUGAUCAGCCACACUGGAACUGAGACACGGUCCAGACUCCUACGGGAGGCAGCAGUGGGGAAUAUUGGACAAUGGGCGCAAGCCUGAUCCAGCCAUACCGCGUGGGUGAAGAAGGCCUUCGGGUUGUAAAGCCCUUUUGUUGGGAAAGAAAAGCAGCAGGUUAAUACCCCGCUGUUCUGGCGGUACCCAAAGAAUAAGCACCGGCUAACUUCGUG